GUGCUCACUUGGGCAACACAUAUACUAAAAUUGGAAUGAUGUGGAGAAUGUUAGCAUGGAUUCUGCACAAGGAUGACAGGCAACUUCGUGAAACAUUCCAUAUUUUU